rnacentral:rRNA from 1 species
GAGGUGGUAUAGGAGUGGGCAUGCGUCUGAUUAGUUAGUUGGCGGGUAAUGGCCCACCAAGACGAUGAUCAGUAGGGGUUCUGAGAGGAAGAUCCCCCACACUGGCACUGAGAUACGGGCCAGACUCCUACGGGAGGCAGCAGUAGGGAAUAUUGGUCAAUGGAUGCAAGUCUGAACCAGCCAUGCCGCGUGCAGGAAGAAGGCCUUCUGGGUUGUAAACUGCUUUUGCCAGGGGAUAAAAUUUCCAUGCGUGGAAAACUGAAGGUACCUGGUGAAUAAGCCACGGCUAACUACGUG